rnacentral:rRNA from 1 species
UGUUUCGGCUAGGGGGUCAUCCCGACUUACCAACCCGAUGCAAACUGCGAAUACCGAAGAAUGUUAUCACGGGAGACACACGGCGGGUGCUAACGUCCGUCGUGAAGAGGGAAACAACCCAGACCGCCAGCUAAGGUCCCAAAGUCAUGGUUAAGUGGGAAACGAUGUGGGAAGGCACAGACAGCCAGGAUGUUGGCUUAGAAGCAGCCAUCAUUUAAAGAAAGCGUAAUAGCUCACUGGUCGAGUCGGCCUGCGCGGAAGAUGUAACGGGGCUAAACCAUGCACCGAAGCUGCGGCAGCGACACUAUGUGUUGUUGGGUAGGGGAGCGUUCUGUAAGCCGUUGAAGGUGUCCUGUGAGGGGUGCUGGAGGUAUCAGAAGUGCGAAUGCUGACAUAAGUAACGAUAAUGCGGGUGAAAAACCCGCACGCCGGAAGACCAAGGGUUCCUGUCCAACGUUAAUCGGGGCAGGGUGAGUCGACCCCUAAGGCGAGGCCGAAAGGCGUAGUCGAUGGGAAACAGGUUAAUAUUCCUGUACUUGGUGUUACUGCGAAGGGGGGACGGAGAAGGCUAUGUUAGCCGGGCGACGGUUGUCCCGGUUUAAGCAUGUAGGCGGAGGUUCCAGGUAAAUCCGGUACCUUUUUAACGCUGAGGUGUGAUGACGAGGCACUACGGUGCUGAAGUAACAAAUGCCCUGCUUCCAGGAAAA